rnacentral:lncRNA from 1 species
AGUACUUGCCCAUGUCCCCUGGCCGCUGAAGGGCUGAGGGGCAGAGCCGGGCGCAGAAACUGUUGACCUUCAGUCCCAGAAUUGUCACAGCCUCUCUCCAGCACCACCUCUCCCCCAGCUGUCCAGCUCACCUCUUAACAAAAAACCUUUCUCCAGCCAUCCGACCCCAUCAGUCCCCAAUUCUGAAGCCUCUUAGAUUUCAUAGCUGGACAUCAAAGCCCACCCCCAGCCUGGUGUUUCCCUGCCUGUCCCCCUACUACUCACCACCCCCUCAAGUGGUUCAACUCUUCCUCUUACUCCUCGAACUUUCCCCUCUCUACCCUCUCCAUGAAUCCAAACUCCCCUGAUCCCUCCAGGUUCAGCGCAGGGCCUCCUCCUCCAGGAAGCCGGCUUGGAUGUCCCGCAGCCCUGAGAGCUCUCUUUUCUCUGCACCUGGAGGAUAACCUCUCCUGUGACUCUCGGCAUGGAUUGGCUCAGAAUGUUAGCCUUCUCACUGUGCUGCGUCGUUUCGUUCCCCUAAUUUCACCCCAAACUUGCAGGCCAGAUGCUUGUCACGUAUUUCUUCCGUGUCGGCACGGGCCUUCACGAGGCAGCCUCCCGCAGGAGCUAAAAAAGUGCUGCUUGGUUAACAACAGCAGUCAAAACCAUCAGCAGCAGGAGACAUACCUCCAGGGCUCCACAUCACUCCCCCAGCCAAGGUCGCAUACCGGUGCCCCCAGCCCCCAUAUUCUAGGUACCACCCAUGUCCUCAAGACCACUUAACUCUCAAGGUCACCCACAGCCCUCUGGCAACCCAGCCGGCUUCUUGAGUAGUUCCCAGCAGCCGCAGGCUCUGCAGACAGGCAUCCUGGGCCGAGCGGCCAAUGUCAGCCAGCAGACAGGAGGGUGAGAACAUCAGGCUGGCACUGUGUGCGUGUCCUUCUCUGCCAGGGCACUUGCUGAUGGGAGUGAGGGACGGGGGUGGCAGGCAGCGGAGGGCAUGGCUCUGGAGCACUAGAAUUCCACCUGCCAAGGACUCGGCGCCCUUCCACAGAGCUGGCUCCAGCCUGUGCUUCCUUUCCCAGCCUCUCCCUGGCCUCAGGGGCUCUUCCUGGCUUUGCCUCUCACUCCGGGAACCUUGACCAGCAUCAUGGCCACCUCUUUUCCCCAGCGAGAGAGCCUGCUCUGCUGUUUGUGCCUCCUCUCCCUGGUGGACCUCGGCACGGGGCACCCUCUGGGUCAGGAAUGCCGGUGGAGCUUCCCCAGGCCGGGCAAGCCACUGAAGCCCUCAGGACCCCUCAGUCUCCUCAUCCAUAAAGUGGGGUCAGAUCCUGUCAUUUGCGUAGCGACAGAGGUGGGGUCAGAUCCAGGCAUGAAAGAAGAAUAAUUUCUACAGCAUUUUCUGUGCUGGGCACUCUGUGAACCCCUUUAUGAGGACUCUAUGUUUCAUCUUCCCCAAAUGCUCAGGGGUUGGUACAGUUAUUAUCCUCACUCCACAGACAGAGAGAUAGAGGCUCAAGAGGUGAAGGAGGUAGCUCAACUGACCACCCGGCAAGCAAGCAGUCGAGAGUUGAAGUGGGGUCUCCGCUUCCUGCACCUGCCCUCCCUCUGCAGACAGCAUCAUCCUAUGAGGAACGGCCAAGACAUGAACUGUUUAUAUCCCGUGGUGGGGGUGGGGUGGGGGGAAGACUCAGGAGUCCCUGUUUAAGUGGGGGAUGGAUAUGGUCCUGGGUGGAGGAACCCUGCUCCUUUUUCUCCCAGCCAGGCCUGACCUAUGGACCAUCUGGUGACCAACUCUCCUGGUUUGUCUGCGACCUUCCCAUAGUCCUUAAAGUCCCAUGUCCCAGUUUGCCCAGGAUGGUUGGUCACUGUACCUGUGGUCUUGGUCGCCCCUGGACCAGUUGCAGAAAAGGCCAAGUGGCCUGAUGGAGCCACGUCAGGACAACCUGGGAGGCCUUUUCAAUUACAUUAGCUUCUGGCAGCGCCAGAGGGAAAUGCUAGUCCCCGCCUCCCCUCCCUUUCUCCUUCCUCUGACUCCUUGGGCGAUAGUGAUUCAGCAGCAAGUGGGAAGCAGGCUAGACUGUGACCUACCAGGAGUGGAAUCACCAGUGGUGGGGGUGGCUGUCAGCCCCAGCUCAGGGCAAGAAUUGGAGCAAGGAGGGGAGGUGGGUAGGGGGUCUUGGGUUGAUGGGGAACCAGACUCCAGCUGUCCUGCCCAGGUCAGGAUUUACUGCAGGGCAGUGGGAGGUGGAUGCCCCCCCCCACCCCGCUCCAUGCCCUGGUAUGUGAGGGAUGGGGGAGUCCCAGCCAUUGGAUACCUAAACUGCUUCUCACCAUAUUCAGCGGCUAAAAAUACAAAACGGCUUUGCUAAAAGGUGCCCGACCAGAAACCUCCUAGAGGCUUCCUACUAGGGCUGCGCCUGCUCGGGCUGGAGUCCAGAUGCCGUGUGAAGGAUUCCUACGCCUGCCAUCCCACCAUCCAGUCCCAGCUUGGCAAUCCCACUGCCAGGGUCUCAGCCUCCAUCCAUUAACCCAUGGGUUUGCCCUCCUUCCCCUGCACCCACUGGUGGCAGCAUUUGGGGAUGGGUCUUGAGCCCCAGAGCAAGGCCUGGGUUCUUGGCCACCCAGGCCCAGCCUCACCUACUCACUGUGUGACCUGGAACAAGUUGUCCAGCUUCUCUACCUUUGCUGUCCUCACCUGCAAAACAGGGAGACCACGGGGUCCAGAAGUCCUUGGCAGGAUGGGCUUGUACUCUGGUUGAAGGACCGGCUGGCCAGGGGAUUUCUCUGGAAGCAUUAAUGUUUCUUAGGGGUGGCUGGUGUCCUGAUGGAGAUUAUGGUACAGGGACUGGAGGGUCUCUUGGCCCCCCUCCUGCUCACGUGUCAGGGUCAUAGUGAUGGAGGUGGACACUGUGCUGGGCCUGAGGUUCUCAGCCAACACUGGCCCAACCUCAGAACCCCAAGGUGCUCAUCGGAGAUGCAAACACUGGGUUAGGUGAGGUGGGGUUGGGGCCCCACGUCUGAAUUUGUGCCAAUCUCCCUACAUGAUCCUGUUGAAUGACCAGGUCAAGAAUCACUGGCCUGGCCUGGCACAGAGCAGACCCUCAGCCCCCUGGGGAAUUAUGCGCCCCCUCCCCCCACCCCCAGCGUUAGUGUGCUUCUGUCACACAUGGUAAUGACCUGCUGUCUCCCCUCUGGGGCUGUUGACAAGCUCAAAGAGGAUCCUGGGUAGCCACAGCUGCACAAACAGAGGGAAAGAGAAUGGCCAUCACUGCAAGGAGGCCACCCCCUGUCUGGACUCCGGGGAGCCAGGGGAUGGGCAGUGGGCCAUUGUGGCCCCUGGCCCCGAGGCUUCUCCUGCAGGACCAGUGGGGAAAUUGUGGGGCAGGUGGGGCGGUUCCUCCUUGUCUCCAU